rnacentral:rRNA from 1 species
AUGGAGCUCAAUGUUCACCUUCGUGCUUCUGAUGGUGAGCCUUUGUCUGAUCCGACACGUUAUCGUCAUCUUGUUGGGAGUCUUGUGUAUCUUGCUGUCACUCGUCCAGAUAUCUCCUAUCCCGUCCACAUUCUGAGUCAGUUUGUUUCUGCUCCCACUUCAGUUCACUAUAGUCACCUUCUUUGUGUUCUACGAUAUCUUCGUGGCAUGAUCUCUCGUCGUCUCUUUUUUCCCCGUUCCAGCUCGUUACAGCUCCAGGCCUAUUCGGAUGCUACAUGGGCUAGUGAUCCUACGGAUCGCCGUUCACUUUCUGCCUACUGUGUCUUUCUUGGUGGUUCCCUCAUUUCCUGGAAGACGAAGAAACAGGCUGCAGUUUCCCGUUCGAGUGCAGAGGCCGAGUUGCGAGCUAUGGCUCUUCUGACGGCAGAGGUGACUUGGUUAUGA